rnacentral:rRNA from 1 species
UACGGAGGGUGCGAGCGUUGUUCGGAAUCACUGGGCGUAAAGGGCGUGUAGGCGGUCUGUUAAGUCUGAUGUGAAAGCCCGGGGCUCACCCCCGGAAGUGCAUUGGAUACUGGCGGACUCGAGUCCCGGAGAGGAGGGUGGAAUUCCUGGUGUAGCGGUGAAAUGCGUAGAUAUCAGGAGGAACACCGGUGGCGAAGGCGGCCCUCUGGACGGUGACUGACGCUGAGACGCGAAAGCGUGGGGAGCGAACAGG